GAGAGAGAGAACGAAACCGAGAGAGAGUCAGUCAGCAUAGCUAGGGGUCAGUCAACAGUGACCUCUCGUCUCAUCUGGGAGGAAUGAGAAAGGACACCGACAUUUAGAGUCCUCAGGCACAUUCUCACUACACAACAACUACAAUACACUCAGAACACUGAAUCAAGACCUGAACAUCAUGGAGAAGCACAAUACACUCCUCCUGUAACACUGUAUCAAGACUACAGAAAACCAUGAUACACUCCUCCUGUAACACUGUAUCAAGACUACAGAAACCCAUAAUAAACUCCUCCUGUAACACUGUAUCAAGACAACAGAACCCAUAAUAAACUCCUCCAGUAACACUGUAUCAAGACUACAGAACCCAUAAUAAACUCCUCCUGUAACACUGUAUCAAGACUACAGAACCCAUAAUAAACUCCUCCAGUAACACUGUAUCAAGACAACAGAACCCAUAAUAAACUCCUCCAGUAACACUGUAUCAAGACAACAGAACCCAUAAUAAACUCCUCCAGUAACACUGUAUCAAGACAACAGAACCCAUAAUAAACUCCUCCAGUAACACUGUAUCAAGACAACAGAACCCAUAAUACACUCCUCCAGUAACACUGUAUCAAGACAACAGAACCCAUAAUAAACUCCUCCAGUAACACUGUAUCAAGACUACAGAACCCAUAAUAAACUCAUCCAGUAACACUGUAUCAAGACAACAGAACCCAUAAUAAACUCCUCCUGUAACACUGUAUCAAGACAACAGAACCCAUAAUAAACUCCUCCAGUAACACUGUAUCAAGACUACAGAACCCAUAAUAAACUCCUCCUGUAACACUGUAUCAAGACUACAGAACCCAUAAUAAACUCCUCCAGUAACACUGUAUCAAGACAACAGAACCCAUAAUAAACUCCUCCAGUAACACUGUAUCAAGACAACAGAACCCAUAAUAAACUCCUC
rnacentral:lncRNA from 13 species